UUAAGCGAACUCUGUUAGCAAUGGUUAAUUGUUGCAUAAACAUAAACCUUUGCAUGGGUUAAUAUUUUUAAGCCCAAACAGACUCAUCUUCGAUGUGUAAAAUCUGGCCCGUUAGAGCUGUUAUUAUUUAUGAAACCCGAGCCCUCUCAAAUUAAAAUAUUAAAAUAUAGCCUAACCGACCCUGUCCGUUUUAAUAAAAUAUGAGGCCCUGUUCUGCCC